UCGGGCAGUGGCUGCCCAUCGUUUACUGUGAAAAAAUUAGAGUGUUCAAAGCAGGCUUAUGCCGUUGAAUAUAUUAGCAUGGAAUAAUAAGAUAGGACCUUGGUACUAUUUUGUUGGUUUGCGCACCGAGGUAAUGAUUAAGAGGGACAGUUGGGGGUAUUCGUAUUCAAUUGUCAGAGGUGAAAUUCUUGGAUUUCUGGAAGACGAACUACUGCGAAAGCAUUUACCAAGGAUGUUUUCAUUAAUCAAGAACGAAAGUUAGGGGAUCGAAGAUGAUUAGAUACCAUCGUAGUCUUAACCAUAAACUAUGCCGACUAGGGAUUUGUGGGUGUUAUUUAUGACCCC
rnacentral:rRNA from 1 species